rnacentral:tRNA from 1 species
AGGGGUGUAGCUCAAUCUGGUAGAGCAACGGAUUCCAAAUCCGUAGGUUGCGGGUUCAAUUCCUGCCGCCCCUG